CCCAGCUCUUUGGGAGGCUGAGGUGGGAGGAUCACUGGAGCUCAGUAAUUUUACAGCAACCUGGGCUUUGUUGUGAGCAAGUCCCCAUCUCUACAAAAAGUCGUAUCAUCGGAGUACGGUGGCACAUGCCUGCCAGGAGUAGUCACAGCUACUUGCGAGGCUGAGGCGGGAGGAUUGCUUGAGUCCAGGAGGCGGAGGUUGCAGUGAGCCGAGAUCACGCCGCUGCACUCCAGCCUGGCUGACACAGUGAGACCCUGUUUCAAAAAAAAAAAAAUUUAAAAAUUUAAAAUAAAAUUAUACAUAUGUAUUUUUAAAAGACUAGAGGCAAAUUCAUCAAAUGCUCAUGGUGACGGAGCGAGCGUUUUCCCGUCGGGGAUCCCGGCAGUGGGUCUGGGUGGCAGGGCACCUGCAUUCUCAGCCCAGCUUCCCUGCCUCGCCAAGUGACUACGAAAAGCCUUUUCCUCUCUGGGCCUGUUUCCUUAUCUGUGAAAUUAAAGUGUGGAACCAGAAGAUCUAGGAUUCUUUCCAGAUCUGAGUUACACGAGGAUAUUCAGGACUCAGGAUUUACACAGAGCUGCACGGGCGUGGUGGGGGGGGGGCUGCCCAUCCCGCUGCGGGCCUUGCCAGUCACGCCCUCAAUACAACCCUCUCUUGGCAGUCUCCACGGAGGGGAGGAAGCGGCUGCCUGCCCGCCUGUCAAACUCUGAUCUCAAAUUAGAAUGACGCCUCUCAUCUCUGCCCUGCUUUGAAUCUGAGAGGCCUCCUCCGCCCUUCAGCUGCAGCCUCGUGACCAGGAACAGAGCGGGCCCUGUGUCCUGGAGGCCUUCAUCAGGGAAGGGGGAAGCCGUCCAUGCAGGAGGUGACAUGUAUUGAUUACCUGUGCCCCGCCCCUACGCCCCAAAGCCAGACACUGUGCUUAGAGACAUCUCCAGCCCCCACGUCCUGGAAUCUUUGUAGAGGGUCAGCUCUGAGCUCAUGGAGCCAGGCCCUGCCUGCCCACCCAGCUCUAGAGGCUACAGCUGCAGUAAGAAACGAAUCUGCCCUCACCUCCUUCACCUGGAGCCAGCCUCCCCAGCACUCUGGUCUCAGGCGCUGGCGGGCAGCAGAGAUGUAGGGCUUACUCCCAGGAUGGAAUGUGAAGGAGAGAUGGUGGCUCACUGCAGCCUUAACCUCCCAGGCUCAAGCUAUCCUCCUGUCUCAGCCUCCAGAGCAACUAGGACUACAGGUGCACCACCAUGCCCAGGUGAUUUGUUUAAUCUUCAUUUUUUUAUAGAGAGGGGGGUUUCGUCAUGUUGCCCAGACAGGUCUUGAACUCCUGGCCUCAAGCAAUCCUUCCACGUUGGCCUCCCAAAGUGCUGGAAUUACAGGCGUAAGCCAUUGUGCCCAGCCUUGGAGACAGGAGAUUUUUGUUUUGCUUAGUUUUUGGUGGUGUCUCACUCUGUCGCCCACGCUGGAGUGCGGUGGUGCAAUCUCGGCUCACUGCAACCUCCGCCUCCUGGGUUUACGCCAUUCUCCUGCCUCAGCCUCCUGAGUAGCUGGGACUACAGGCGCCCGCCACCACGCCUGGCUAAUUUUGUAUUUUAGUAGAGACGGGGUUUCGCCAUGUUGGCCAGGAUGGUCUCGAACUCCUGACCUUGUGAUCCACCCGCCUCAGCCUCCCAAAGUGCUGGGAUUACAGGCGUGAGCCACCGCGCCCGGCCAGGAGACUGGAGCUUUUCGAAUGGAUCCACUAAAAGGAACAAGAAAGGCUGCGUGUUGGAUCUAUCACGGAUGCUCUGGGCUCUUCAGUGAAGUACUUGUUUAUAAAGUGAGAUGAUUUAAAGCUGGUUUGGUGACAAACACCAAGUGAAAAGCCACACAGGUGGCGUGCAGGCGUGGGAAGAAUUGUGAUGGGAAAUGGAAUGCCUUGAGUUGGGGAAAUGCUGUUUUCCAUCCAAUGCUCACAACAGUCCUCUGAGUGCAGGUCUUACUGUCUCAUCUUACAGAGACAGAAACAGGCCCAGAGAGGUGAGGGGAGUUGCACAAAGUCACUCAGCGAGGGAGUGGAGACGCUGAUCAAUGGUGAUGACUAAUCUUCCGUGGCUGGUAGACCUGGAAAGAGGAGUCUUCCAGGAGCACUGAGCCAGGGUGCCAUGCAGCCCUGGGCUAACGGUUCAGUCCUCUUCUCCGCUGCUGAGCUGUGCCAGGCAGGGGCGUACCCUCGGAUCAGAAACGGUCGCAUCAGACUGGCACAGGCCUGUGGCAGGGCAGAUAGCGAGACUGAUUGGGAAUUGGCAGGUGAGGGAUGGCAAGAAGGAGAACCAGGUCAACUCAUGUCUGCAGAGGCCUGGCAGGCUGGGCUGCCACAGGGACCUCGAGUGUGGAGGAGGAGUAACAUUUGUUCACAGGCUGAGGUUCUUUUAAGCACAGGUUGGCCUGGAACUGGUCUCCUGUUGCAGGCCUCUAACAUGGAAGCUGGUGAUAGGUAAGAAGGAUGUGAGUCAAAGGAAAGCUAUAAGCUCCACAACCACACACACCCGCUCAGACAGACACAGUCCUCACCACAACCACACACACACACUGCAGCGAAUGCACGACCUUCCUAGCAGGUGUUUGUCCUGGGGCCUCUUUUAGAACACACAGGGUGUGGUUUUCACCUUUGGAAUGACUCACUGUUCUGUCCUGUCUCUCUGCCUUUGUUCUAUUGCUAAUCAUAAAGGUUUUUUUUUUUUAAGGCGGAGUCUCGCUCUGUCACCCAGGCUGGAGUGCUGUGGUGUGAUCUCGGCUCACUGCAAGCUCCGCCUCCCGGGUUCACGCCAUUCUCCUGCCUCAGCCUCCCGAAUAGCUGGGACUACAGGCGCCGCCACCUCGCCCGGCUAAUUUUUGUGUUUUUAGUAGAGACAGGGUUUCACCGUGUUGGCCAGGAUGGUCUCCAUCUCUUGACCUCGUGAUCUGCCCACCUCAGCCUCCCAAAGUGCUGGGAUUACAGGCGUGAGCCACCGCGCCCGGCCAUGUCACCCAUAAAAUUUAAUAGCAUGAAGUUUCAUAUGAGCCUGUGGUGGCCAGAGAUGUAAACAUUGGUUCAAAUAAAACUAACAAACAAAGGUGCAUUUCUUUUUUUGUGUGUGUUUGUUUUGAGGCUAAGUCUCGCUCUGUCAUCCAGGCUGGAGGUGCAGUGGUGUGAUCUCGGCUCACUGCAAGCUCCGCCUCCCGGCCUCAAGCAAUUUUCGUGCCUCAGCCUCCCAAGUAGCUGGGAUUACAGGUGUCCACGACCAUGCCCAGCUAAUUUUAUGUUUUAGUAGAGAUGGGGUUUUGCCAUGUUGGCCAGGCUGGUCUCAAACUCUUGGCUUCAAGCUAUUCACCUGCCUUAGCCUCUCAAAGUGCUGGGAUCGUGAGCCACUGGGCCCGGCCUCAUUUUCCCCAUCUGUCUAGUGGGGUUGGUUACUCCUGCCCCACCUGGUUUGAUCCCGCCUAUAAUCUUAGCACGUUGGGAAGUCAAGGUGGUUGGAUCACUUGAGCCCAGGAAUUUGAGACCAGCCUGGACAACACGGAGAAAUCCCAUCUCUACCAAAAAUACAAAAAUUAGCCGGGCAUGAGAGUGCGUGCCUGGAGUCCCAGCUACUCAGGAGGCUGAGGUGGGAGACUCACCUGAGCUUUGGAAGUCGAGGCUACCGUGAGCCGUGAUUGCACCACUGUACUCCAGCCUGGACGAUGGAGUGAAAUCCUGUCAGAAAGAAAGAAAAAGAAAAAGAAAGAAAGAAAGAGAAAAGAAACUGAGGCCCAGGUAAGCUGCUCAGGCCACCAGAUUAAGGCAGUUAAGGAUGGCAUCCAGACCCCUGAAAGGGAGGCCAAGCUAAAGACUGAUUUGGGCAUGGGCAGUUCCUUCUGGCAGACAGCAGAAAAGGAACAAAUGAGAGAAGCAAAGAGUAGGGUCUUGUCUCUGCCCCAGCAAAGCAGCCUCAGAAGAAGUGGACUCAGAAU
rnacentral:lncRNA from 1 species